GUGCUCCCUUCGGCAGCACAUGUACUACAAUUGGCACAACACAGAGAAGCUGAGCGUGUCCCUGCUCAAGGGUGAAACAAGCUUGUGAAGCCUUAAGAAAAGCA